UCACAGAUGAGGUAAGUACAGAUAUGAAUCUCACGUCAAAUUGCUGAUUGUUUUGUGUCACACGGAAUUCUCACUUCCGGCGAGCGCUGGCAAGUGUCGUUCUGAAAUUUAAUAAGGAAAGAGAUAGGAAAACGCCGUUCGAAAGACGAAAAAUUGUUUUUUUAAAAAGUCUACGCUACCGACGGCUAUUUUGGGAAUUAAUUCUUCAAGAGUAA